rnacentral:rRNA from 1 species
UUACAGUAGGAUAAGCUAACCGUACUGUUGGUUAUGUACGGCUAAGCAUUGAGGCAGUAUAAAUAGGCAAAUCCGUUUAGACAAUGCUAGGAUGUGAUGGGGAAGCCCUUCGGGGCGAAGUAGCUGAUUUCACACUGUCAAGAAAAGCUUCUAUCGAGUUUAAAGGCGCCCGUACCGUAAACCGACACAGGUGGGUGAGGAGAGUAUCCUAAGGCCAGCGAGAGAACUAUUGUUAAGGAACUCGGCAAAAUGACCCCGUAACUUAGGGAGAAGGGGUGCCUGUCUAUGACAGGCCGCAGAGAAUAGGCCCAAGCGACUGUUUACCAAAAACACAGGUUUCUGCUAAGUCGCAAGACGAUGUAUAGGAGCUGACGCCUGCCCGGUGCUGGAAGGUUAAGGGGAUCUGUUAGAGCAAUCGAAGCAGUGAACUUAAGCCCCAGUAAACGGCGGCCGUAACGAUAACGGUCCUAAGGUAGCGAAAUUCCUUGUCGGGUAAGUUCCGACCCGCACGAAAGGCGUAACGAUUUGGGCACUGUCUCAACAAUAGACUCGGUGAAAUUGUAAUCCCGGUGAAGAUGCCGGGUACCUGCGACAGGACGGAAAGACCCCAUGGAGCUUUACUGUAGCUUGACGUUGGGUCUUGGUACUGCAUGUACAGGAUAGGUGGGAGACUAUGAAGCAUGGACGCCAGUCUGUGUGGAGUCAUCCUUGGGAUACCACCCUUGUAGUACUGGGAUCCUAACCAUAGGCCUUGAAUCAGGUCUUGGAACACCGUCAGGUGGGCAGUUUGACUGGGGCGGUCGCCUCCUAAAAAGUAACGGAGGCGCUCAAAGGUUUCCUCAGCACGGUCGGAAAUCGUGCGAAGAGUGUAAAGGCAAAAGGAAGCUUGAUUGCAAGACAUACAGGUCGAGCAAGGACGAAAGUCGGACUUAGUGAUCCGGUAGUACCGCAUGGAAGGGCCAUCGCUCAACGGAUAAAAGCUACCCUGGGGAUAACAGGCUUAUCUCCCCCAAGAGUCCACAUCGACGGGGAGGUUUGGCACCUCGAUGUCGGCUCAUCACAUCCUGGGGCUGUAGUAGGUCCCAAGGGUUGGGCUGUUCGCCCAUUAAAGUGGUACGCGAGCUGGGUUCAGAACGUCGUGAGACAGUUCGGUCCCUAUCCGUCGCAGGCGUAGGAAAUUUGAGAAGACCUGUCCUUAGUACGAGAGGACCGGGAUGGACGUACCUCUGGUGUACCAGUUGUUCUGCCAAGGGCAUGGCUGGGUAGCUAUGUACGGAAUGGAUAAGCGCUGAAAGCAUCUAAGCGCGAAGCCAACUUCAAGAUAAGAUUUCCCACCGUAAGGGUAAGACCCCAGGAGGACUACCUGGUUGAUAGGUCGAAGGUGUAGGUGCAGUAAUGUAUUUAGCUUAUCGAUACUAAUAGGUCGAGGACUUGACC